GAUGAAGAACGUAGCGAAAUGCGAUACGUAAUGUGAAUUGCAAAUUCAGUGAAUCAUCGAGUCUUUGAACGCACAUUGCGCCCCCUGGUAUUCCGGGGGGCAUGCCUGUCCGAGCGUCAUUACUGCCCUCAAGCCCGGCUUGUGUGUUGGGCCCCGUCCUCCGAUCCCGGGGGACGGGCCCGAAAGGCAGCGGCGGCACCGCGUCCGGUCCUCGAGCGUAUGGGGCUUUGUCACCCGCUCUGUAGGCCCGGCCGGCGCUUGCCGAUCAACCCCAAUUUUUUAUAGGUUGACCUCGGAUCAGGUAGGGAUACCCGCUGAACUUAAGCAUAUCAAUAAGCGGAGG
rnacentral:misc_RNA from 1 species